rnacentral:rRNA from 1 species
GACGAACCGAGCGAACGUUGUUCGGAAUCACUGGGCUUAAAGGGCGCGUAGGCGGGCUGUCAAGUCUGGGGUGAAAUCCCGCGGCUCAACCGUGGAACUGCCUCAGAUACUGACGGCCUCGAGGGAGGUAGGGGCGAGCGGAACUGUGAGUGGAGCGGUGAAAUGCGUUGAUAUUCACAGGAACUCCGGUGGCGAAGGCGGCUCGCUGGACCUUUUCUGACGCUGAGGCGCGAAAGCUAGGGGAGCAAACAGG